ACACAAAAGGAGGAAGAGGAGGUGGAGGUAUCGGAAAUGGAAGUAGAGGCUAAUUCUGGUUUUACGCCUUGUUCCUUCUUUUUUCUUCUUCGUCUUCUUGUGUAUUUAUAAGAAGAGGAAGAGGAAGAGGAAGAAUCUUCUUUUUUGGAGGGGUAUUGAGGUACAAGGGGUGUAGCUGCUUUUUUUUCAUUUU
rnacentral:ribozyme from 14 species